CUUAGGAUGACCCCAGGCAGCCACUGUAGAAGAUGAGGCUCUUGACCUACCCCUGGUGCCAGAUGUGCCUGUCCGGGGGGCAGCCAGGUGGAGAAGGAGAGAAAACCCUAGACAGGGUUGGAGGGUCACUGCUGUCCUGAGCCCUCACCAGCUGGAGAAGCAGCACUUUCCCCCAGGGCAGAUUAGGCUGUCUUACGAUGAGUCAAGUGUGUCCUGUUUGGACCCAGAGAUGCCCUCAACUGUGUGAUUAGGAGAACAACUGAGAUGAUUCCUCUCCUCAGUUAAAUGGAAGAGAAAUUAAGUUAUUCUCAGGGGUCCAAGAAGGCAUGAUUAAUAAGCUGAGGCCGCAG
rnacentral:lncRNA from 1 species